rnacentral:piRNA from 1 species
CNGCAACAUACAGAACUUCCUACUGCUC